GCGGCGGCGGCGGCGGCGGCAGUGACGAGUGGCGACGACCGCUGCGGCCGGUGUGGAAGUGGCCUGGGCUCGGGCCGCACGGUGGAGGACGCGCGGCGGCAAGUCUUUCGGCCGAUCCCCCGGCGAUCGCCACCGACCGCGUUACGCGCACACCGCCGUCGUCCCGCCGCCAAAUCAGCCGCGGCAGAGAACUGCUCUCUCAGUGUCUGUCCGUCGGUCAUACGCAAUAUACGACGCACGCGCCGCGGUCGUCGGCUGUUCUCAAACGACACCAUCGACAAUAAUAAUAAAUAACGACUAAUCGUCGUCUCUCGUAGUAACAGUACCGCAACCGUCGUUUCACUCGUCCUGUUCGAAAUAUAUUAUCACAUUAUAAUAAUAUCGUACGCGCGCGCGCGUGUGACUGUAUACGACAAUACCUACGCAUAAUAUUAUAAAAUAAUAUAAAAACGACGACGCCGUUCGUUCGUUCGUUCGACGGGAGAACCGAAAAUUUAGCGACGCUCGUUCGGGGUGUGUCUACUACACUUUUUUUUCAUUUUUUUUUUUGUAUCGUCGCGGCACAUUUACGCACGCGACGCGCACAGACGACGACUGUUUUUUUAUUUUUUUAUUAUAGUUCUGUUCCGGCGCGUCGAUCAGCCGACGACGACGGAAACCGCGGCGUUUCGAUUGUAGGCGUAUACCACGCCACCGCGCCGAGUCGUUCGCAGGCGUUACGCGCGCUCGUCGCAAUCUCCGCGAGUAAUGCGCACUGCGACAGACCCGGAGCCAAAGACGUAGUGAUAACGACCUGACCGACGGCAUCAUCGUAACCCCGUUGGCGCGACGUGCCUUCAUUUAUGCGCCUAGGUUACGCCCGCGGAGAACGCAACCCCGCACGACCAACCCGUUGACCGCCGAGGUCCAUGCGACCCUCUUGCACUCGCCGCCCCGAACGUCCUCGACUGUCCGCAGUACGACAAGGAUCUGAAGGAUCUCACUGAAAUGAGACGGCUCAAAAUUAUAUUUAUUUGUAAGCUGACAAUAUGUUUACUGACAUGGUCCGUAUUUGUAGCGGAGUUAGAUGCGCUACGAGGUUCUGCUGUUGUACUUCAAGCGAGAGCGAAAGCGGA